GCCGCAGUCGUCUAGGGGUAAGGACACCAGUUUGUGGUUAUCCGCGACGAUCACUGGAAACCGAGGUUCGAGUCCUCGCUGCGGCA
rnacentral:tRNA from 1 species